CCGCCCCGCCCGCCUCCCAAAUCCCAACCCUCCUCACUCUCACCCCCACCGCGUUCCCCGCCCUUGCAGCGUCAUGGAGGCCAUGGGCGGCAGCCCCACGCCGCAGGAGCUGGACGCGGUCAUGUUUGAGCUGGACAGCAACGGCGACGCGGUGGUGGACUUUCCGGAGUUCCUCACCAAGUUCUUCACCGCCAUGGACGAGGAGGAGCUGCUGCGCGUGUUCAAGCAGCUCUUCGUGCUGGAGGUGGGGGCGGUGUGUCAGAUGGGUUGGGGCUGGGGGUGGGGCUGGGGGGUGCGUUGGCGUGCUCCAGAGCCCAAUGAGCAGGGAGUGGGUGGUGGUGGUAGUGGCGGCGGCGGUGGUGGAUGUGGGUUUGCUGGUGUUGCGAGGGCGAAAAGAGGGAGGGCAUGCUGCGGCGAUGGGGUCCUUGCGGAUUUUCCAUGAGGCGAGGCGGGGCGGGGCGAGGGUGUCCUAACCGCUGUGCCGCCUGUUGUGUUGUGCCGCCCGUGAGCGCAGGACAGCGACAACAACGAGCGCGCGCUGACGCUGUCGGCCAUUGAGCGCAGCUUCCAGGUGCGGCUGGCGGACUGAGCGGAGCAGGGCGCUUGGAGCGGAGUGGUGGUGCGCGCGAGGCCUAUGGGCACUGGAUAAGCAACGGCAUGCACAGCCGCGACGCAAGAAGCGCUCACAGCGGCGGGAAGGGGCCUUGUCGGACAGGUUAGGCAGCCCGGCAUGCUGUUAGGGCUGCGGCCGGGGCCGCAGUCAUCGGCGGUAAAACAAAGUGGCUCAGUACCUGUGGCUGCUCGAUGUGUCGAUGCGUCGGUGUGUUAGUGUAUCAUGUUGUUUGCCGCCGUCCCUCCCUGCCGUGUAGUAUGUGGGCGAGCCGCUGUCGGACGAGGACAAGGCCUACCUCAAGGUGCGGCCUGUGCGGUGAUGGCUAGACGGGAAGCAGCGGGCUGGGUAUAAGUAGUCGAGCACGGGUAGCAGGGAACGGGAGGACGGCGAAUAUCAAUAAAAAGAUACUAAGCAGCUACCGAUGGCGAAUAUCAAUAAAAAGAUACUAAGCGUGAGCAGCAGGCAGCGGGGGCGGGGCGGGUGGGUCUCUGCAAGCCGGUCAGGUGGUUGCUGUCCCGUACAGCCCCCGCCAAACGUACCGUAAUGGCGCGUGGCCUGCCUGCGCCAUCUCCUCGCACACCGGCGCAGAUUAUCUUUGAGGGCGCCGACCGCGACGGCAACGGCCGCCUGGACAUCAAGGAGUUCACAGCCUACCUCGAAAAGCUGGACGACGAGAUUUUCACGGGUCUCAACGCAGCCAACCAGCAGGCCGCGGCGGCGGCACAGGCAGCUGCAGCCGCAGCCCAGGCCGUGAAUGCCCAGGCCACCAUGCUCGGCGCCGGCAGCGGCGCGCUGGCGGGCUUCGGCAGCGGGCCGGUCAGCGGCGGCGGCGGACUGGGGUCGGGGCUGGCGGGCGCGGGCAGUGGCGUGUCGGGGCAGCUGACAGCCAUCAUGAAUGCGGCGGCGUCGGCGAACGCGUCGGUUGACGGCGCCAACGGUGCGGGGGCGUCCGGCAGGAACGGCAAGCAGCGCAGCGGGCGGGGGCUGUGGCGCUCCGCGGCGGCGGGCUUGGGCCUGGCCGUCGGUGGUGGAGGUGGCGGGGGCGCGGAGGGCGCCGGCGCUGGCCCGGAGCGGACGCGGUCGGAGGGCUGCGGCACGGAGGGGCAGGAGGGUGCCGGUGGCGCGGUGGUGGUGCUGGCGGGGGCGGAGGGCGCUGCUGCCGCUGCGGGGGCCACGGAGGAGGGCGACCUCAGCGGGCCGCCCAGCCAGAGCGGCAGCCUGCGCUCCGCGUUCAUGUCCAAGUUCGGGCUGGGCGCGCCAGGCAGCAAGCAGCGCCGGGCUAGCGCCAGCAGCGGCAACCUGGCGGCGAUGGCGGGGCCUGCCACCGGCGACGGUGGCGCCGGGACCCCCGUGAUGCUGGGCGCCGGGGGCGGGUCGAUAGGGAGCACCGCCGGGCGUGUGAUUGGGGGCUUGCUCGGCGGCAGUAGCCGUUGGCGGCCGGGCAGUAGCGGCAGCGGGAAGGUGCAGGUGUCGCCGCUACGGGGAGGCCGCGCCAGCAGCGGUGGCCUGGCCGGGGCAGCGGGGGCAGGAGGCGGCGGCGGCUUUGCCAGCAGCGUGUCUGCCAGCAGCGCCAGUGGCCAGGUGCUGGCGGUGCCGCCUGGGCUCCAUGCUACGGGCAGUGCCAGCGGCAGCGGGCAGGGCACGCCGGGGCAUGGCACUUCCAAUGACGGCACGGGCGCCGCCGUUGCGUCGGCACGGCUGUCUGCUGCCGCCAUGAUCGCUGCCGCUGCGGCGGCGGCAGCCGCCGCGAGCGCUGCACCGGCACGGGCCGGCGGCGGCGGAAGCAACGACGGCACGGGCACGGCUGGUGCGGGCGGGCUUGCGUUCAGCAGUCGUGAGGGCAGCCUCAUAGCGGCGCAGAGCAGGCAGAGCGCCUUUCUCGCGGCUCCGCCGCUGGUGGCGGCGCUGGGCGUUGGUUCGGCUGCAUCCUAUGCCAGCCCUGUGCCGUCGCCAUCGCGACCGGGCUCGGCGGCGGCGCUGGCAGGCAUGCUACUGGCUGGGUCUGAAGACGCGCCGCCGCAGCAGCUGUCGUCUCAGGUGUCGCCAUUGGGGUCCCUAACCGGCAUACCGCAGUUUGGCAGCGACCCGCAGCAGCAGCCGCAGCAGGGCCCGCAGCAGGGCCCGCAACAGCAGUGGACGGGCAUGCUUGGCCGCCUGGGCUUUGGGCAGGGUACGUCGUCGCGGCUCCGGACGGCCAUGGACGCGCGGCGCCAGGCCAGCGUCAUCCAGGAGGCGCCGGAGGAGCUGGAGGCGGACUCGGGGCACCCCGCCCUCGGCUCGGUGUCGGGGCCGGGAGCAGCAGCUGUUUCGGCGGCGGCGGCUGCCGCCACCGCGGCCGCGGCGGCAGCAGGCGCAGCGGCGCAAGGGGCCCCGCAGCGGCAGGCCACGAGCGGGAUAUCCACGGAGACGGAGGAGCGUGUGUCGGGCAGCGGCGCGCCGCCUCGCUCUUCCGAUCCCACCCACGGCAAGACCGUCAGCGCGGGCGGGGCAUCUGCAUGGCAGCCGUCUACUGUGCCUGCUGGGGGCGGGGGCACGGGCUACACACGCGUCGGCUCGCUCCCCGACCGCAUGGCUUCAGCGGGGGCUGCGGCUGCAGCUGCUCUUCGUGGGGCCGGUGGGGGCAGCCGUCACGCGAGCACAGGCAGCGGCGGGGCCACCGGGACCGCUGCCAGCGGGCGCAGCACGAGCUUCCUGCCGUUCCGGAGUGGGUCAGGUGGCGAGGCGAGGCGGGGCGGCUCGCGCUUUAGUGGCCUGAUGGCAGCUGUGUUUGGGCGGCAGCGCAGCCUUGGGCACGGGUCGGGAGGGGGCAGCUCGCCCACACCGGCCGGCUCGGGCUCGGCGGCGCAGUCGGCCUCUGCAUCGGCCGUGCCCAGCCCGGUGCGGCCACGUACCGUCGGCAUCUUGCCAGAAAGCCAGGCAGUGGUGACGGCUGCAGCGGGAAGCAGGGCCGCGAGCAUUGGCGGGGCGUCGGCAACGGCGGUUCUUAUUACGGCAGCAGCGGCAGCGGUGGCAGGCGGUAGCAGCGCAGGCGCCGGAGCGUCAGCGGCGGCGUACGUGCCGCACCCACCGCCAUCACGCACCAGCACCGCCAUAGCGCGGGCUCCCGGGGGUGUUCUCGGCAGGAGCGCAUCUGGGAGCGGCUCGCCGGCACCUGCGCCGUCGCAAGCACAGCUGCCUGCGCCGUCAUCGCCGCGGGCUGCUGCGGCCACCGGUGGCGCUGGAGGUGGUGCGGGCGUGCAGCUGCCUCCGCCGCCCCCAGCGGCACGGCCGACGGUGUUGUCUCGAAGCGCGUCUGGCGCGGGUGGCGGCGGCAGGGCCGUAGCGGAGGCGGCAGAGGGGUCUGCCCCCGCCACGUGGAGCUCAGCCGCCAAUGCGUGGUCCGCACUGGGCUGGCUCCGGCCUGGCAGCGGGAGCGCCACCACUAGCAGCAGCAGCAACGGCGGCAGCGGUGCAGGCAGUGCAGGGGGCAGCAUCAAAGCGUCGGUGGCGGCGGUUUCGGCGCCUGCAGCGGCCUGGGUGGUGCCCGCGGUGUCCAGCCCGCGCGCUGAGCCGCCGCCGGCGUACCCGCCGCGCCUGCAUUUGCAUGCGGUAGCGCCUGAGUCAGUGCAGCCCUCAGGGGGGUCGCAACACCCGCCGCCGCUGUUACGGGCAUGGUCAGCAGGCGGCGCCGGCCAGGUGCUGGGCAUUCCGCCACCGCCGCCGCCGCCAUCGUUACUCCGGGCGCCUGCGGACCAGUGCAGGUCCGGGCCGCCCAAGGCUGCACUAAUGCGCUGCAGCAGUGCGGGUCCCGGCUCCGGCGUCUGCUGCAGCGGCAGUAGCUCACACGGCGGAAAUGCCCACCGUGGGAUUGGGCCCAGUCGCUUCGCUGGAGUAGACGCUGGCGCUGGGGCUGGGGCUGGGACUGGGGCCAGGGUCGGCGCAGCCGUCGCACCAGCGGCAGGGAGGCUGGGACCCGGAGCGGCGGCUACAGAUAUAGAAGUGUUGCCGCACUAGACACGCAGCCAGAUGCAGCAAAUUCCGGGCUACAGGAACGGAGGUUUUACAAGGUGACAACCAGUCUGAAAGGAACCGUGGGGAACCGUGGGGAACCGUGGGGAACCGUGAGGCAGUCCGAGCGCGGCACCAGGCUCGCGCGAACAACCGGCGUCAGGGCCGGCUGUUUAUUUGCCGGCUCGAGUUCCACAGCUACUUUUGGCAUGUCCAGCGCAACAUGUGUAGCUGCGACGUGGCCCGCGAAAUCGUCCAUGCUAGGCAUUUUGACGGGGCCUUCGCAGACCGUAGAGCUUUUAACAUUCUAGCGCGGGGACUGAGCAAGGAAUACGACGUCGGUCAUACCGGCUUGCAUGGAGCCCGAUUGCCGCCCGAUUCCAUAUACGGCUUAAACAUCACAACUCCUGGGCGCGGAUGGCAAGUCCAUCGCCGCCGCCAACCUGUGCCGAGAGAGUGCGUGCGUCCUGCAUUGUCCCACAGGCGUUGCCCGUGCGGAAAAGGCCGGUAUGUUCAUCUGGGCACCCGUCUGGCCCAAGCUGCACGAGUGGGUCAAGGCCCACCCCUCCAGCACGGUGGACUGGACCGCGGCCGAAAAGCACCUGCGGCGGGAGUUCCCGGACAUCCCCGUCAGUGCCUUCGAGCACGGCGGUGCCGGCAGGACCAAGUAUUCUAAGUGGAAGAGGCUGUACGACCCGUAGGCUAGAGCCAGCAGCCCCUCCUGGAUGGUGUCCAGCAGGCCCUGGGGGGGGCGUGUGUGUGUGUGGGGGGGGGCGUGUGUGUGUGGGGGGGGGGGGGGGGCGUGUGUGGGGGGGGCGUGUAUCAUUGGGCUACAGCCAGCUGCUGGUCCCGCCGCCGCCGCCGCCGCUGCCGCGGGCAGACAAGCCUGUAAUCCCUGAGCUGACGAAGGGCGUGAGCCAGUGGCUAUAAACGACACGGCGCACGGUGCAACGGUGGUGAUUGCCGUGGCCGCAAUCUCUCCGGGCAGCCAGAGUGGCUCCACUCCUAUGCAUGCUGGCAGCGAAGCGCUGCAGCACCAGAGUGCGCCGGGGGGGUGCGUCUGCCGCUUGAUUGAAGCGACGACGGGCGCAGUGCCAAGCGCGGCCGCGACAGUGCGCGAGAUGAGCAACAGCAACAGCAGUAGCAGAAGUAGCAGCGCGAUCAGUAAAUGCAAGCAGGGAGUAGACAGAACUGCAGAGGCCAGCAAAAUGCAUGCUAGGACGCAUGCGCCCGGCGCGACUUGGCAGCAGUUUUGCCGAAGGGCAACGCUGUACUGAAGUGCUUGGCGGUGGGCGAGGGGGUCGGUAGGAUGAUUUUGCUGAGCUAGGCACGCACCAUCAGGGGUAGUGAUGAACUUGUCUGCAAAGGCGCUGUAUUGAGGCUGUUGCACAUUGGCCGCGUCAAAUAUCUUGGAGGCGCAGGGGUUGCUGAUGUCGAAAAAGAUGACGCUGGGGCGGGCAAGGUAGGAGGCGGGCAGUGGUAGGAGAUAGUCAACCUUUCACAGCUAGGGUGUUUCAAUCGAAUUCUUGACUCGCCUGACUCGCCUUCGUGACGAAGUGGACGAAAGGAUGCGGAUGUUACAGAGGGGACAGUCCCAGCUCCCGAAGACGCCGAGCCAUCACAUGCUAUCAGGGCCCAACCCCGACUUUGCUGCAAACCCUCCCGCGGGCAAAGUCCGUGUGACUCCGCGCACAGUGAGUCCUAGCCAAGCCUCAACCCGCCAGAGCCCCACCGCUGUGCCUCAACGCCACAAGCCUAGGCACAGGAGUGCCGGGAAACGUCUAGGCCGCAGGACACACGCACAGCGCACGCACUAACCAGGGCGCAAGCGUCCAGGUACUAGAACGGUCGCCCACACGUGCAUCCUGCCCACACACAGAGCCACCAACCACGCACAACCUCUCACGGCGAGGGGGGCGGGGAAUCAGCGUCAUACGGCAAGCGCAAAACCAUGCCGUCACCAACAGCCCGAGAUAUGAAGGGAUGCGCAAACGGCACAGCGUCCCAACCCUUUGGCCUGAUACCCAAAGUCACAAACGUCUGGAGACGACCCCAGAAGUCAGCUACGACGGCAAGUCCAAUGCUCAGCACCCGGGCCGACGGCAGCUUCGCUCGCGCCGCCAACCCGGCCAUAACCACACGCUGCCGACCAAAGUCCAGGGCAGACAUAGCAGCGAGACACACCACAUCCCACACAGGUGGCGCAAGCCCCGCAGGCGGGCGCACUAACCACAACUCCUCACGAGAGAAGGCACUUAGAGCCUCCUCCGGUAGGAGCCCCAUAGCCAUCCCCAUACUUUCCCGCAGUGACAGCGCAACAGUGCAGUCCCAAAACCAGUGACGCCGGUCCCCAUCCUGCAUGUCCACCCCACACGCCCAACACGGGUCAACAGUAACGCCUCGCGCCCGCUCGCUAGCAUGCCGUGGAAACGCCCAGCAAGCGUUGGCGGCCACACGCCACAGUGCUUCCUUAUGAUGAUUCUCCCAUUUCAGCGACCACAAGCGGGCCAAGGUGCACACGAAGGCCCCCGCCGCCAGGGCAGCCCCCACCCCCGACACACCCGCAUCGCACACAUACUGCAAAUGCUUAGCCUUCAGGGCGGCUAACUGUGGAGCCAUUUGUAGCACGGACGAAAGCACCCAGAACCGACCAAGUGGGAAAUAAGCUUUGCCGCUUACGGGUCCUUCCCAACUGUAGUCGCCUCCUGCCCGACGGGUUUCCAGAUCGGCAAGGUAAGCGGCGCUGCGGCGCCGCCAGGCCCUGUGCGUGUUACUGCAAGAUGGUUAGAUGGUCAAGAGGUGUGCCGCCCACGGCCCCACGCAACUUUGUUUGCGUGUGAGCCACCCCGCGUGUGAGCCUCAUGGCGACAUGAGUUACACGAAACUUUCUGUGUGCCCACGCGGGGCCACCUCUCAUGCUCAGCAAUAUAACGUUGAGUCCCAUAUCACUUGACUCCCUUAGGGGCACGCCCCAUGGAUCGCAUGGUGGUCCGCUAGUGUAUCGUAUGUACCUGCCCCGCCUGCGAAACUUGAUGUGUUCCUGUACAAGUUGGCUUGCCCCUUUCCCCGAAGGGCCAGUAGCCCUUGCGAUCGCAUUUAGCAUUCGCAUGGCGGCGCGAAGUUCAUGAUACAAAUAAUUGCAAAACGUUUUGGGGGUGGACCCUGUCUUGCUGUAACAUGCCCCUUUCGCACAGCGGGCGGGUGCGCGUAUUACUAACCUAGUAUGCUAAUUAGUAUUCUGAAAUCAAUAACCGUGACAGAGCAGAACGAUUGCAAAACUUCGCAGCUUGGAAGUGAGUGGCUUUGCUACGUGGCCACUGCCUUACCCAGCCGAGUGCCACCUCUUCGCCUCGCCGCCCCCGAAUGUGCCUCCCACCGUGCCCCCGAACACCCAAUCCCAUUUCGCCAUUCCCCUCCUCCACCCCUCUGCUCGCACCUGCUUCUCCUGUGCUAGCAGUGCGGGCAGGUUAGGCAGGUCAUUGCGUUGUGCGAUGCGGAAUUUCAGGGCAAGGCAAGGGCGCACCGGCGCAGGGGCAAGCCGGGGUAGGUACUGCGUAGCUGCGGGGUUUCUGUGUCUGCCGCCCGCGAAACUUCCUGUGUGCCUGUGCGGCUGUGCCUGCCACCUUGUGCACAGAAACCUUGCCGUUGGCUUCAGCCACCGCCUGUCUGCACCUUUAGGCUGGACCUGCGCCGCCCCACUUUCUGUGUCUGCCGCCCACGCCACUUUGUGUGCCUAUGUCAGUGUGUCUGCCGCCCACGCAACUUUAUGUCAGCUUUUUAUGUCUGCCACCAACGAAACCUUACACCUGGCCACGCAAAACUUCCUGUGCAUCAUUUCAGUGCCUGCCAUCCACAAGACUUCCCCUGCAGCCAACUGACUUCCUCCCUUCCGCCAAGCUGCUUAACUCCUUCAACGCUUACGGCGCCACGCCUUCAAGUAGCAGGGGUAGCAGAGGCCCUGAACAUACUUGCGGCAGUUGCGGAUGCCACAGUGCCGGCACUCGCCGUUGGGCCCACGCUGCUUCAGCCCUUUCGCAACGAGAGCGCGGUUGGCCGCCUUCCGCGCCGCCGCCGAGCGCUUGGAGCAGCCGACCGGGCCCAGUGUGGCGGCCGCCGCCGCCGAGCGCUCUGAGCAGCCGACUGGGCCCAGUGUGGCGGCCAUCCCGGCACCAAAGCCCUCGCCCGGGUACCGUGUGGCGGCCGCCGCCGCCGAGCGCUCCGAUGGGUGACACCAACCCGAAGUGUCAUGUGCCUGAACCGCCCACAAAGCUUUUUAUGUCUGCCACCCACGUGCCUGCCACCCCGCCCACGCACCUUUUACAUGGCCUUCACAUGUCGGCCGUUAGCAUGCAGAGUGGCGUGGGUGGCAGACACACAGAAAGCAGUGGGGGCAGGCAAGGUCACGUGGAGGAGAACGCGGCGCCGCCCGAGAACCGGCGCCAGCCGGCGCCAGAGCGCAGGUCGAGGCCCGAGGGAUGACAUGCCCCCUCCAUCCGGCACUUUCUGUGCCUAUGCCUGCCCUGUUUGACCGAGCGGACAUCUGAUGCUGAGAAUGCACCUAUCACGUGUUGCCGCAGCUGGCUCCCCUGUUUGGUGUCGGGAUAGGGGGCUCCAUCCCCCGACACCAAACAUGGGACCGGGCAGGGGCGGGGCUCCCCCGACACCGCUGGGUGGCAGGCUGCGCGUGCACACACAUACAUAAUCGCGCCGCCAUAUGGCUCCUUAUCUCCUUUCGCUGAUGCACAGCAUCUCAUUGCCUACCUGCCGCAUGCAUCCGAAGUUCCGAACGCCCAUCUACAACCCCAACUGAGCCGCCACGCCGCCACAGAAAGCCACCAAGCCACUGCACCGUACCAUCCAUCCGUACACCUGGCCACUGACUGGCCAAAAUGACAUCCAACUGCUUCCGCCAAGCUGCUUAACUCCUUCAACGCUUACGGCGCCGCUCCUUAAAGUAGCAGGGGUAGCAGAGGCCCUGAACAUACUUGCGGCAGUUGCGGAUGCCACAGUGCCGGCACUCGCCGUUGGGCCAGGUCAGGUCAGGUCGCGAGCGCGGGUCAGGUUGCGGAACUAGGUACCUAGCACCGACCGCGGUCUUGUAGUCCUUGUGAUGAGAGGACAGGUUGUACCCGUCCCAGGGCCUCCCGAGGUUGACGCGCGCGCAGUGGGCGCGCAGGGGAUUCGCAGAGGUUGAGGCCCCACCGCGGCGUGUCGCCGUGGCGACCAGGCUGUUCUGAAUGAUGGUGUUCGCCUCGAUGAACCGCCGCUCCGCAGCAGACCGGGCGCUGGCGGCGGCACGGUGGUCCAGCGGCAGAGCCGCGCGGGCUAAGGGCGACAACAGGUCGCACUUGAUUGUGCCCGUUUUCUCAUACUGCGAGGCACCGCCACUGUAGUAGGACAGUCGGUAAAAGACACAUCUAGAUGCCCCAGGGCGCCGUCCGCAGGGUUAUAUACUUGUGUGUCGUAGAACUUCCGUGUUCCGCCCACAGCCACGGAUUAGGCGGUUCAGCAGGCGGUUUGUCGGACAGUCCCUGUGGCCGCCGCGCGGACCGUUGCCGCCGCGAUAGACUACACCACCAGCAACGGGAAUUGCUUCUAUCAUCUGUGUUUGGUGUCUAAAAUGUAUUUGAAUAUGCAGGCGAAUGGGCAAGAAAUUGAGGGAUGACACGCCCCCUCCAUCCGGCACUUUCUGUGCCUAUGCCUGCCCCUACUGACAGCCAACCCCCCACACGCGGGCAGACACAGAAAGUUUCCAGGGCGGGGUGGCAGGCACCCUGGACGUCCUGACAGGCGCAGGCGCAUGACCAAGCAGCCUCGACGCGCGUGUUCAGCCGCAGUCCAGGCGAGUGGCGGCACGCGGCGGUUGACCCUGCCUUCUCAGCAGACGAACCGGGUCGGGCCUUUGGCUGCUGUUCGCACUGCGCAGUCCAGAACUAGACUCGGGCAGGUGAUGCAUAAACUUUGUUUGCCUUCAUGACGCCCAGCCUGGUUUCAAUACAAUUCUUGCGUCUUAACUCGCCUGACUCGCCUUUGCGGCGACAUGGACGAAGGGGGCCAGAACCGACCAAGUGGGAAAUAAGCGCUUACGGAUCCUUUCCAACUCUAGUCCCGUCCGGCCCGACGGCUUUCUGGACUGGUAAGGUAAGCUUGGAAUUAAGAAAGUGCGUGUUAGCAUGCAUGUUUCAGCAGCGAAAAACAGCUCCAACCGGUGGCAGUCGGGCAAAACCGCGCUCGAGCGAGCACUGAAAACCUUGCCGUCCACACCAGCCGAUAACUCGGAAUCAAUUGUCAAUGGCAUUCUUUGGUGUUUGAGCGCCUGCCUGGGGGCACUUUUGCUCGAGUUGAAGUCCAACUGCCCCCGGAUCCGCAAGUUACAGGAGCGAGGCCUUCUAAGGCGCGCCCCAUCGCGCAGUAAUUGCGGUCUGCGAUAGCUCCUUGGCAUAGGUUGCCCGCCCGCAAGCACGUUGAGGGUACGCGGCAGCAGCGCAACACAGCGACAUCGCUUCGUUUCCUUGCGCGUUCUCUACGCAUGCGCGUUCCCUUGGCAGCAGUAUCAUCAAUGAGGCGUAUUCAGCUUUCACCAUGAGUCCGUCAACAACUACACUGGUCCUGCUGCUGCUGGUCGCGGCGAGAAUUUCGUCAUCUGGCGCCGCACCAGCAGGAGAAGCGGCCUGGGAGCACGACGUUAGCCGCAGCGACGCAACCAGCACACUACAAAGCUGGUCAAACGUAGCCAACAGGUUGGAUGCGAGGUAGCCCUGUAUAUGUUUGCGAGGGUAGCGGGGCGGGUGCGGCGCGUGCGUCCAGUGCCGCCCGAUGGCUCGGUGGCCAAUUUCCAACUGGUCUGUGGGUAUAAAUUACCAGUUACACAGCGACUCCAUACGUCCGUUCGUAAGGGACUUCACAUGUGAACCGCCGUCCGUCCCAGCUAGCGAUAAGUGGCCAUUCCGCAGCGCAUUCGCAAGGCUUUGGCACUGUGCGCGCACCUGGCGCGCGAUCGACAUCACAACGCUAUCAAAAUGCCUGCUAACAAAGGGCCCGUGUUUAGCGAAUUCCGCGGGGCAGCGCCAAUCAACCGCCGGCCACGGUUUCUCGGCCACGCACACUCCCGCCAAAUUAUCGCCAGCCACAUCUGGCCAAUUUACAUGCCACGUACUUAGUAUCGAUUCGCUUGCUUGCAGGUGCUUGUCGCUUAACACGUAUGCAGAUAGCUGCGACACGCGCACAGACGGCAGCGUGUAUUGCAAGACUUGCCUAACCUGGCGGCAUGAAGCUGGUGAAGCCGGGUGUCAGCGGGCCCUCGCGCGCGUUCUUCACGUCUGCGCCGCGGACCGCCUGAUGCAGUGGUACUCUGGGCCAGGGAAACGGUCCGUGGGUGGCAGCACGGAUGUGCACGUGCUACCCUGGGCGCAUGGGAAGACAGGUAAGCGAUAGGGCUGCGCAGAUAGAGCGGAGCUUCUGUGGCUCGCAUGUGUGAGGGGCGCGGCCCGGCGGUGGCCGGUGGGAGACAUGACGUCCUGUCAGGGCGACAUGAGUUACAUGGUCAGCUACGGCAGGACACUUCCCCCGCUGACGCGGAGCCUUUCCCUAAUACAGAGGUCUGCCAGUGGGCCAGGUGGAACACUUCCGAGCAAGACACGCGCGUCGUGUUCACCAUGCUGAGUAAGGGACUUGACUGCGCAGAAGGUACGUGCGUGUGCAGCUCUCUAUGUUUAGUUGUCUUGCAGUUGUGGAUGUGUGGCUGCACCCGAUCAUGCGCUUAUUUAUUACGCCUUGCUUGUCAAGCUGUCACCCCAUUGGGGCGGCGUGCGUGCCGACGGACACACGCAUGCUGCUGAGCAGAGGGCACCUGCACUCAGCUGCACUGUUUCCCUCCCAUCCACAUUCGAGCCGUGCACCCCUUCCCACCACUCGCAAGCGCAUACCCGCUCGCCUGCUGCAUGCUGCAGAUGCCACUCCCAUCAGCGUUGACGGCGCCACGUUCGCAGCCUGUGGCCGGAGUGCCCGUGGCUGCCGCAAGUCGGGCGCAGCGCCCGGCGAGGUCUCCAUUACGCUGGGCGUGCGCCGCACGACAGGAGUCACGCCACUGCCGCUGCCCGCCACCGGCAACGGCGCAACCGAUGUGGCGGCCGAUGCCGCGGUGUUGCCAGCGCACGCACGUUCGCUCCUGUGGUAUCAGACCCAGCCCUGCACUAGCUCUGUCCUGUACAACAGCUCUGGCAGCCCUGUUACUUUCAUCGACGGCCCCGUGUAUGCGGGCGCUGACAAGCAGUUGGUCGGCACUGCGACGCUGUACCCGAAUACGCCGCCUGGGUUCCUCACUUUCACGCUGGCGCGGAUCUACAACAGCGACGUGUCCAACUCAUACUUUUGGGACAACAGCGACUUGCUGUGGCGGCUGUACCCCGACCUUGGGUCCCUGAACAACGCUAUUGAUGUGGGUGUAGUGGGUGGGUGCGCACCCUGCGCGGCGGGUGGUGGGGGCGGUUGGGGGCGGUUGGGUUCCCAGCAGGGUCCUUACUCCAGGGCAGUAGGGUGAUUGCGCUCCGUGUGACCCUGCCUUGGGGGACAGGGCACACCUCACCUGCACGCGUGCCAGGCAGGGCGCGUCGUGCGAUGGGGGGCGGGACUGCCGUACUGCGGGUGGAGUGACGGAUGACGCGCCCCGCCUAGCAGGUGCUACACCACACCACACCCUUUCCACACCCAUCACCACUUGGCCAUUGCCCGUGCCCCCCCACCCACCCGCGCACACAUCCCACCACGUGCCCGGCCUUUGCGUCAUCUACUCAUCGCCGGUGGCGCCGAACCCACCCCACCUUAUGCGUGGACGCCUCUCCCUUGCCUUUUCCACUGCUGGCUGUCGAUGCCAUCCCUUCCCCGCCUUCACCCAUCCUGUACGACAGGGCCCCGCUUGUUCGCGCCCUAACCAGCUGGGAAGAAACUUCAACCAUGUCUCCAUGGACGGCAACAUCGGCAUCAUUAGUUUCGUCAUUCCAAACUCCAACUUGUCUCUCACAGAAGGCAGCUGCGACCGCAAGCGCUUUUUCAUCAUGAUCAAGGCCGGCGUUGCGGUGGGUCGCGGGAGACGGAGAUAGCGUUGCUCGCCCCUGCUCCCACCCCAUCCGGUCGCGUCCACCAGUGCCACUGCAUGUCCUGCUCACCAUUCCUGCCCGUGCCAGCCCUCACCAGUUGCCGUUCGCCUCCUCUUUGCGGGCUCUUUGUACUCCCAUCCCGCUCUUCACAGCACCAUCGCUCGCCGCACCCCAUCUCUCUUACACCGGCCAACAUUUGCCUGCACCCGUGUCGACAGGGCGAGACCGCGUUUCUAUCCUGGAGGUACAUGACCAAGAACAUCAACGAGUUCCCCGAGCUGUGCACAUCGGUGUCAAACUCCUGGUUUGGCCUGGGCGACUUCUACGUGGGUUGUCAGCCAUGCGCGACCCCGCCCUCCCCGCCGCUGCCUCCUAGGCCGCCGAGCCCAUCGCCGCCCAGCCCAUCGCCACCCUCCCCUUCGCCAACCACAGUAUCGAGCCCGUCGCCGCCCAGCCCCGCGCCACCCAUCCCCGCGCCGCCCAGCCCUCGCCCGCCUAGCCCUGCGCCGCCCAGCCCGCGCCCGCCUAGCCCUGCGCCUCCCAGCCCUGCGCCUCCCAGCCCUGCGCCGCCCAGCCCGCGCCCGCCUAGCCCUGCCCCUCCCAGCCCCGCCCCACCCAGCCCUUCGCCGGCCAGCCCAUCUCCGCCCAGCCCGGCGCCGACCAGCACUCUGCCCCCAAGCCCAGCUCCGCCCAGCCCCGCACCCAGGCCGCCAGAGCCCCCGUGUGCCCCUUGCCCUGACACCGCCCUUUACGCCAACGCGACAAGUAGCAAAGUGUCCUUUAUCACCGGCCCCGUGUAUGCGGGCGCAGACAAGCAGCUUGUCGGCAUUGCGACACUGUACGUAAACACGCCGGUCGCCGGAUCCCUCACAGUCACGCUGGUGCGGACUUCCAACAACGGCUUCAACUCGCCCUUCUGGUCCACGGAUGAUGCGCUGUGGCAGCUUUACACCGACACUGGGUCACUCGGCUCCGCCAUUGAUGUGGGUGCGCCUUGGGGUGCGGAACGUGCGCGGCGGGUGUCGGGGACGUUUGAACUCGGUUGGCACAUGGUGCGUGUGUCUGCCCAUGAUACUUACUAUCUCAAAGCUAGCCGCCUACGCAACUUUCUGUGCUUGUGCCUGGUCCUCACCGGUUUUUGUCUGAGUACCCAAGCAAAUAUGCCAUGAACUUUUCCGUACGCUGCCGUAAAACUGUCGACGAAACCCCUUACACGCCUGGCCACAUGUAUGGUAGCGAGAUUCCCUCUGCGUAGUCCUUUGUCAGAGGGUUCACGACCUGCCCGACAACUAUUAGGCAGAGCGCAUCAUGGUAUAUGUGUGGCAUGUAUGGUAGGUAUACCGUAUGUGUGGACACAGCAGGCAGCCUAGUUCACCGCAUCCGCAUCAGCCUCCUAGCCCUGCACCUCCUUCGCCUGCGCCGUUUCGUGGGCGGCACCACAGGAAAUUCCGUGGGCGGCUGGCCGAUUUACUUGCCAGCUGGUCGGUGCAUGUGAAGUGCCGGAUCAGUCCGUUUGGGACUCCGCACGCAAGUCCGUGAGGAAUGCCCAUCAGCAGCAAACUUCCAGCCCGCCAGCAACUUGUCCGUACAGUAAUUCCGGCAUUCGACCAGCCGCGCACGACUGCCCUGCCGCUGCAAAUUGUUUGCCAUCUGUUGGGGUCUGGGCGUCAGCUGCACCCUACGGGAUCUCGCCAACCUGUCCUAUCGCACACGCAAGUCCGCACGGGUACGGCCAGUGCUUUCGCAUUCUAGCUCUGGCCACCCAGACCCCACCUGCAUCCUACUCACAUUAUCUCGUGCGUACACGUUCGACUGACGUUGUUAUUGGUUUCUUACUGGUGACGCUCGCAGGCCCCCGGCUGUUCCCGGCCCAACCAGCUGGGCAGGGACUUCAACCACGUCCCGUUAAAUGGCAAUGUCGGGCUCUUCAGUUUCGUCAUUCCAUACACCAGCUUGGGCCUGACGCCUGAAAGCUGCGAGCGCAAGCGCUUUUUCAUCAUCGUCAAAUCCGGCGUCGAGGUGAGUCGCGCGGGGCAGGGUAAGAUCAUGGCAAGGGCAGGAGGAUGAUCGGGGCCGGUGAGGUCAGGUACUGAAACACUGGCGCACGGGAGUAUAACAACGGAUCCGGCACACAUGCGACAGCCAGAAUACCGCAAUCCUCACUUUCGUUUACAUUUUGUAGCACAACUGGUGCACUUUCGCUGCAACAUAUUUUCCGUCUUCACCAACAUUGGGCUUCCAAGACCCUAGGAUUCCUGCCUUAUCCCACAAUCAUACUGCAUCGACAGGGCGACACUGCGUUUCUAUCCUGGAGGUACAUGACCAAGAACAUUAACGAGUUCCCCGAGCUGUGCACAUCGGUGUCAAACUCCUGGUUCGGCCUUGGCGACUUCUAUUUGUCAUGUAAACCUUGCACUCCACCAUCUCCGCCCUCACCACCGUCAACAGUCGCCUUGAGCCCGCCAUCGCCCGCACCGCCGAGUCCGCUUCCACCCAGUCCAGCGCCGCCUUCCCCUACGCCUCCUAGCCCUGCCCCGCCGUCGCCUGCGCCUCCCUCGCCCGCUCCGCCCACCCCGAAGCCGCCGAGCCCGGCGCCUCCAAGCCCUGCUCCUCCCUCUCCCAAGCCUCCCAGCCCCGCACCCCCGACACCGACCCUGCGCCCGCCCAGCCCAGCGCCUCCGUCGCCCGCGCCUCCUUCGCCUGCGCCACCUACCCCGGCCCCGCCCAGCCCCGCGCCGCCUUCGCCUGCGCCUCCGUCGCCCGCGCCUCCCAGCCCCGCUCCCCCGACCCCGACCCUGCGCCCGCCCAGCCCGGCGCCUCCGUCGCCCGCGCCUCCGUCGCCUGCUCCUCCGUCACCAACGCCUCCCAGCCCUGCGCCGCCGUCGCCUGCGCCUCCCUCGCCCGCUCCUCCUUCACCUGCCCCGCCCAGCCCCGCGCCGCCCCCGCCAUGCGACGAUUGCCCGUCGCUGUUCAUCUCUGAGUUCCACUAUGACCAGAACCCCAGGGGCGGCAACAGCGACAAGCGGGAGUGGAUUGAGAUUAUUGUGCCUGCCGGCUUCGACUGGAGGCAAGACCUGUGGCUGGCGCAGUACACGUUCAACGGCAACCCGCAGACCGCCAGCGGCAGCCUGCACGGCAACGUGUUCCCGUUCACGUCACCCCAGAUCACCGUCAUUAGCGAGACUCGGCUGCAGACGCCCAACUUCGACUGGACGGCGCUGGUGAUUGACCUGCAGGGCAACCUGCAGAACAGCAAUGGCGGCUGGGACGGCUUUGCGCUGCUGACCAAGUGCACGGACGGCGUGCGCUGGUCGGUGGCGGACUUCAUCUGCUACGGCGCCAACUCGCAGGGCUUCAACAGCAUCGCCGCGAACGGCCCCGCGGCCGGCUACAGCUGCACCAACGUUGGCGCCGGCGUGAUUGAGAACAACAACACGCCUCAGGGCACCUCCAUCCAGCGUCUCAACACCGGCGACUGGAGCACCGUGGCCACGUGGAACUGGCAGGCCAACCUACCGCAGACCUGGGGCAGCCUGUUCAACCCCAGCAUCGCCCUGGGCACCAUCCCGCAAGUUGAGGCUUGCGGCGUGCCUCCCGCCGCGAAGCCUCCCUCGCCCGCUCCUCCCAGCCCUGCCCCGCCGUCACCUGCGCCUCCAAGCCCUGCUCCUCCCUCUCCCAAGCCUCCCAGCCCCGCGCCCCCGACCCCGACCCUGAGCCCGCCCAGCCCCGCGCCUCCGUCGCCCGCGCCUCCUUCGCCUGCUCCUCCGUCACCAACGCCUCCCAGCCCUGUGCCGCCGUCUCCUGCGCCUCCCUCGCCCGCUCCUCCUUCACCUGCCCCGCCCAGCCCCGCGCCGCCACCGCCAUGCGACGAUUGCCCGUCGCUGUUCAUCUCUGAGUUCCACUAUGACCAGGACCCCAGGGGCGGCAACAGCGACAAGCGGGAGUGGAUUGAGAUCAUCGUGCCUGCCGGCUUCGACUGGAGGCAAGACCUGUGGCUGGCGCAGUACACGUUCAAUGGCAACCCGCAGACCGCCAGCGGCAGCCUGCACGGCAACGUGUUCCCGUUCACGUCACCCCAGAUCACCGUCAUUAGCGAGACUCGGCUGCAGACGCCCAACUUCGACUGGACGGCGCUGGUGAUUGACCUGCAGGGCAACCUGCAGAACAGCAAUGGCGGCUGGGACGGCUUUGCGCUGCUGACCAAGUGCACGGACGGCGUGCGCUGGUCUGUGGCGGACUUCAUCUGCUACGGCGCCAACUCGCAGGGCUUCAACAGCAUCGCCGCGAACGGCCCCGCGGCCGGCUACAGCUGCACCAACGUUGGCGCCGGCGUGAUUGAGAACAACAACACGCCUCAGGGCACCUCCAUCCAGCGUCUCACCACCGGCGACUGGACCACCGUGGCCACGUGGAACUGGCAGGCCAACCUACCGCAGACCUGGGGCAGCCUGUUCAACCCCAGCGUGCCCCUGGGCGACAUCCCGCAGGUUGAGGCCUGCGGCGUGCCGCCCGCCGCAAAGCCUCCCUCGCCCGCUCCUCCCAGUCCGGUUCCUCCUAGCCCUGCCCCGCCGUCGCCUGCGCCUCCCUCGCCCGCUCCGCCCACCCCGAAGCCGCCGAGCCCGGCGCCUCCAAGCCCUGCUCCUCCCUCUCCCAAGCCUCCCAGCCCCGCACCCCCGACACCGACCCUGCGCCCGCCCAGCCCAGCGCCUCCGUCGCCCGCGCCUCCUUCGCCUGCGCCACCUACCCCGGCCCCGCCCAGCCCCGCGCCGCCUUCGCCUGCGCCUCCGUCGCCCGCGCCUCCCAGCCCCGCUCCCCCGACCCCGACCCUGCGCCCGCCCAGCCCGGCGCCUCCGUCGCCCGCGCCUCCGUCGCCCGCGCCUCCGUCACCAACGCCUCCCAGCCCUGCGCCGCCGUCGCCUGCGCCUCCCUCGCCCGCUCCUCCUUCACCUGCCCCGCCCAGCCCCGCGCCGCCCCCGCCAUGCGACGAUUGCCCGUCGCUGUUCAUCUCUGAGUUCCACUAUGACCAGAACCCCAGGGGCGGCAACAGCGACAAGCGGGAGUGGAUUGAGAUCAUUGUGCCUGCCGGCUUCGACUGGAGGCAAGACCUGUGGCUGGCGCAGUACACGUUCAACGGCAACCCGCAGACCGCCAGCGGCAGCCUGCACGGCAACGUGUUCCCGUUCACGUCACCCCAGAUCACCGUCAUUAGCGAGACUCGGCUGCAGACGCCCAACUUCGACUGGACGGCGCUGGUGAUUGACCUGCAGGGCAACCUGCAGAACAGCAAUGGCGGCUGGGACGGCUUUGCGCUGCUGACCAAGUGCACGGACGGCGUGCGCUGGUCUGUGGCGGACUUCAUCUGCUACGGCGCCAACUCGCAGGGCUUCAACAGCAUCGCCGCGAACGGCCCCGCGGCCGGCCACAGCUGCACCAACGUUGGCGCCGGCGUGAUUGAGAACAACAACACGCCUCAGGGCACCUCCAUCCAGCGUCUCAACAUCGGCGACUGGAGCACCGUGGCCACGUGGAACUGGCAGGCCAACCUACCGCAGACCUGGGGCAGCCUGUUCAACCCCAGCGUGCCCCUGGGCGACAUCCCGCAGGUUGAGGCCUGCGGCGUGCCGCCCGCCGCGAAGCCUCCCUCGCCCGCUCCUCCCAGUCCGGUCCCUCCUAGCCCUGCCCCGCCGUCGCCUGCGCCUCCCUCGCCCGCUCCUCCCAGCCCGGAGCCGCCCAGCCCGGCGCCUCCCAGCCCUGCUCCUCCCUCCCCCGAGCCUCCCAGCCCCGCGCCCCCGACCCCUGAGCUGAGCCCGCCCAGCCCGGAGCCUCCGUCGCCCGCGCCUCCUUCGCCUGCGCCUCCUAGCCCGGCGCCGCCCAGCCCGGAGCCGCCCAGCCCUGCUCCUCCUAGCCCGGCCCCGCCGUCGCCAGCGCCGCCGUCGCCUGCGCCUCCCUCGCCCGCUCCUCCCAGCCCGGAGCCGCCCAGCCCGGCGCCUCCCAGCCCUGCUCCUCCCUCCCCCGAGCCGCCCAGCCCCGCGCCCCCGACCCCUGAGCUGAGCCCGCCCAGCCCGGAGCCUCCGUCGCCCGCGCCUCCUUCGCCUGCGCCUCCUAGCCCGGCGCCGCCCAGCCCGGAGCCGCCCAGCCCUGCUCCUCCUAGCCCGGCCCCGCCGUCGCCAGCGCCGCCGUCGCCUGCGCCUCCCUCGCCCGCUCCUCCCAGCCCGGAGCCGCCCAGCCCGGCGCCUCCCAGCCCUGCUCCUCCCUCCCCCGAGCCGCCCAGCCCCGCGCCCCCGACCCCUGAGCUGAGCCCGCCCAGCCCGGAGCCUCCGUCGCCCGCGCCUCCUUCGCCUGCGCCUCCUAGCCCGGCGCCGCCCAGCCCGGAGCCGCCCAGCCCUGCUCCUCCUAGCCCGGCCCCGCCGUCGCCAGCGCCGCCGUCGCCUGCGCCUCCCUCGCCCGCUCCUCCCAGCCCGGAGCCGCCCAGCCCGGCGCCUCCCAGCCCUGCUCCUCCCUCCCCCGAGCCGCCCAGCCCCGCGCCCCCGACCCCUGAGCUGAGCCCGCCCAGCCCGGAGCCUCCGUCGCCCGCGCCUCCUUCGCCUGCGCCUCCUAGCCCGGCGCCGCCCAGCCCGGAGCCGCCCAGCCCUGCUCCUCCUAGCCCGGCCCCGCCGUCGCCAGCGCCGCCGUCGCCUGCGCCUCCCUCGCCUGCUCCUCCUAGCCCUGCCCCGCCGUCGCCUGCGCCUCCCAGCCCUGCUCCUCCCUCCCCCGAGC
rnacentral:lncRNA from 1 species